rnacentral:rRNA from 1 species
AUUGAACGCUGGCGGCAGGCCUAACACAUGCAAGUCGAACGAGUGGCGGACGGGUGAGUAAUUUCUGGGAAACUGCCCGAUGGAGGGGGAUAACUACUGGAAACGGUAGCUAAUACCGCAUACCAUCGGAUGUGCCCAGAUGGGAUUAGCUAGUAGGGGGGGUAACGGCUCACCUAGGCGACGAUCCCUAGCUGGUCUGAGAGGAUGACAGGCCACACGGGAACUGAGACACGGUCAAGACUCCUACGGGAGGCAGCAGUGGGGAAUAUUGCACAAUGGGCGCAAGCCUGAUGCAGACAUGCCGCGGAUAUGAAGAAGGCCUUCGGGUUGUAAAGUACUUUCAGCGGGGAGGCGUUACCCGAAGAAGAAGCACCGGCUAACUCCGUGCCAGCAGCCGCGGUAAUUC